ACCGUAAUAUGUGUCCGUUGGGAGUAUCAUCAUGGAAUGAUAUUAAGCAAGAAAAGUUGAAUCACAUGUGGGCAGCUAUUGAGGAUAAAUUUGAGAGUGUUGACAUGAAUGAUCAUCGUUAACAUAUCUUCGGAUGGAUGAAAGAGUUAUGGAACAAAUGGAGAGGACACUUGCAUGCAAAAUAUGUGAAGGAUAAGCCAAUCCAACAGGCUCUUAAGAAUAUUCCAAAGGGAGUAGACAAGAAAGAAUGGGAGUGGUUAGUUAAGGAACAUUUUUCUUCAGAAAGUUUUCAGGCGAGAAGCAACAGGAAUGCAGCAAAUCGAGC